GGUCAUCCAAUCUGAACAUAUCGGUUAUAGGUCGUCAAAUCCUGUAGUUUUGUCAUUUUCCUUUGGAGUGAGAAUUAAUUUAGAAUCAUUAAGACUCUAUGGUCUUUGUUCUUUCCCAAAACCGUUUCCUCGCUUCUUUCUUUCUCUGUUUUGCUCUGUUUCUGCUGUGUUUUUGGCAAAAAUAAAAAAUAAAAAACAGAGAAAUGAAUCGUCUGUGGACUCUGCUCAUUCAUGUUCACUCACUCGCUGGACCGGUGCUGAUGCUGCUCUACCCUUUAUAUGCGUCGGUUGUGGCCAUGGAGAGCCCAUCAAAAGUGGAUGAUGAGCAGUGGCUUGCUUACUGGAUAUUAUAUUCAUUUCUAACCCUCAUGGAGAUGGUGCUUCAACCCAUUUUACAGUGG